AGUGGAUGGGGAGCAACCUAGUUGUGCGUGUGUAAAGGUAGUGCCAAGAAAAGCGAUGAUCAUGUUGAAAAUCAAUUCCCGGUACCCGAAACCGACACAGGUGGGCAAGUAGAGAAUACUAAGGGGCGCGAGGUAACUCUCUCCAAGGAACUCGGCAAAAUGACCCCGUAACUUAGGGAGAAGGGGUGCCACCGAGAGGUGGUCGCAGUGAAGAGGCCCAGGCGACUGUUUAGCAAAAACAUAGGUCUCUGCAAACUCGAAAGAGGAGGUAUAGGGGCUGACGCCUGCCCAGUGCCGGAAGGUUAAAGAAGUUGGUCAGUCUUAGGAUGAAGCUAGCGACUGAAGCCCCGGUGAACGGCGGCCGUAACUAUAACGGUCCUAAGGUAGCGAAAUUCCUUGUCGGGUAAGUUCCGACCCGCACGAAAGGCGUAACGAUCUGGGCGCUGUCUCGGAGAGAGGCUCGGCGAAAUAGGAUUGUCUGUGAAGAUACGGACUACCUGCAUUUGGACAGAAAGACCCUAUGAAGCUUUACUAUAGCUUGGAAUUGUGUUCGGGCUUCCUGUGCGCAGGAUAGGUGGGAGGCGUAGAAGGUAUUCUUUUGGGGAUACUGGAGCCAACGGUGAGAUACCACUCUCAGGAGGCUAGAAUUCUAACUUAAUUAAGGACAGUUUCAGGUGGGUAGUUUGACUGGGGCGGUCGCCUCCAAAAAGGUAACGGAGGCGUACAAAGGUUCCCUCAGACUGGUUGGAAAUCAGUCGAAGAGUGCAAAGGCAGAAGGGAGCUUGACUGCGAGAAGUACAGUUCGAGCAGGGUGGAAACACGGUCUUAGUGAUCCGACGGUGCUGUGUGGAAGGGCCGUCGCUCAACGGAUAAAAGUUACUCUAGGAUAACAGGCUGAUCUCCCCCAAGAGUUCACAUCGACGGGGAGGUUUGGCACCUCGAUGUCGGCUCAUCGCAACCUGGGGCGGAAGUACGUCCCAAGGGUUGGGCUGUUCGCCCAUUAAAGCGGUACGUGAGCUGGGUUCAGAACGUCGUGAGACAGUUCGGUCCAUAUCCGAUGUAGGCGUGAGAAUAUUGAGAGGAGCCUUCCUUAGUACGAGAGGACCGGGAAGGACGCACCGCUGGUGUACCUGUUAUGAUGCCAAUUGUAAACGCAGGGUAGCCAAGUGCGGAGAGGAUAACCGCUGAAAGCAUCUAAGUGGGAAGCCCACCUCAAGAUGAGUAUUCUGGUGUAAGGUCACGGGAAGACGACCCGUAAAUAGGCACGAGGUGGAAGUGCAGAGAUGUAUGAAGCCGAAGUGUACUAAUAGACCGUCGGCUUGACC
rnacentral:rRNA from 1 species